rnacentral:rRNA from 1 species
AUACAGAGGGUGCGAGCGUUAAUCGGAAUGACUGGGCGUAAAGCGCGCGUAGGCGGCUUAUUAAGUCAGAUGUGAAAUCCCCGGGCUCAACCUGGGAACUGCAUCUGAUACUGGUAAGCUAGAGUUUGGGAGAGGGAAGUAGAAUUUCAGGUGUAGCGGUGAAAUGCAUAGAGAUCUGAAGGAAUACCAGUGGCGAAGGCGACUUCCUGGCCAAAAACUGACGCUGAGGUGCGAAAGCGUGGGUAGCAAACGGGAAUAGAAACCCCUGUAGUCC